CAGUCGCCGCGGGAAUACGUAGGUCCCGAGCGUUGUCCGGAUUUACUGGGCGUAAAGGGCGCGUAGGCGGGCGAAUCAGUCAGGGGUGAAAUCCCAAGGCUCAACCUUGGAACUGCCUUUGAUACUGUUUGUCUUGAGUUCGAGAGAGGUAAGUGGAACUGCGAGUGUAGAGGUGAAAUUCGUAGAUAUUCGCAAGAACACCAGUGGCGAAGGCGACUCUCUGGUCUGUAACCGACGCUGAGGAGCGAAAGCGUGGGGAGCGAACAGGAUUAGAUACCCCUGUAGUCCCUGUCUCUUAUAC
rnacentral:rRNA from 1 species